rnacentral:rRNA from 1 species
UACCCUUCAAUGGUUUAGAUGUCAUGUAGUCCCAUGGGUAUGAAACCCAUUUGAGCGAGAGUAGUACUAGGAUGGGUGACCUCCUAGGAAGUCCUCGUGAAAGGGUUU